rnacentral:rRNA from 1 species
AACGAACGCUGGCGGCAGGCUUAACACAUGCAAGUCGAACGGAUGUAGCAAUACAUCAGUGGCAGACGGGUGAGGAACACGUGGGAAUAUUCCUUUCAGUUCGGAAUAACGUUGGGAAACUAACGCUAAUACCGGAUACGUCCUUCGGGAGAAAGAUUUAUCGCUGAAAGAUUAGCCCGCGUCUGAUUAGCUAGUUGGUGAGGUAAUGGCUCACCAAGGCGACGAUCAGUAGCUGGUCUGAGAGGAUGAUCAGCCACAUUGGGACUGAGACACGGCCCAAACUCCUACGGGAGGCAGCAGUGGGGAAUAUUGGACAAUGGGCGCAAGCCUGAUCCAGCCAUGCCGCGUGAGUGAUGAAGGCCUUCGGGUUGUAAAGCUCUUUUGUCCGGGAAGAUAAUGACUGUACCGGAAGAAUAAGCCCCGGCAAACUUCGUGCCAGCAGCCGCGGUAA